CUUUGCCAAGCUAAAUAUCAAGGGCCAUGAGCUAAAAUAUUAAUCGGUCUUAAAACUCACGGCUCAAUUCAUGUGUGAACUCUCCAUGGACUUGAGAUAACAUAGAGGCAUGAAGCACAGGGCUUGCAGCUCGGGUUGGCGAGGGCAAC